UUCGGCGGCUAUAGCGAGAGGGAAACGCCCGGUCACAUUCCGAACCCGGAAGCUAAGACUCUCUGCGCCGAUGGUACUGCAGGGGGGACCCUGUGGGAGAGUAGGACACCGCCGGAC
rnacentral:rRNA from 15 species